rnacentral:lncRNA from 1 species
CCCUAUUAAUUUUUAAUUUUAUUUGCAGAUGGAGAACUUAAUGUUCUGGAUGAUAUUUUAACUGAAGUACCAGAACAAGAUGAUGAACUGUAUAAUCCAGAGAGUGAACAAGAUAAAAAUGAGAAAAAGGGAUCAAAAAGAAAAAGUGAUCGAAUGGAAUCUACUGAUACCAAACGACAAAAGCCUUCUGUCCAUUCUAGACAACUGGUUUCUAAGCCACUGAGCUCAUCUGUUAGCAAUAACAAAAGAAUAGUUAGUACAAAAG